rnacentral:rRNA from 1 species
GAUGAACGCUGGCGGCGUGCCUAAUACAUGCAAGUCGAGCGAACGGACGAGAAGCUUGCUUCUCUGACGUUAUCGGCGGACGUGUGAGUAACACAAGGAUCCCCUAUCUAUAAGACUGCGUUAACUUCGGGAAACCGGAGCUACUACAGAAAUAUAUUUUGAUCCUCAAGGUUCAAAAGUGCAAGACGGUCUUGCUGUCACUGAUAGAUGGAUCCGCGCUGCAUUAGUUAGUUGGUAAGGUAACGGAUUACCAAGGCAACGAUGCGUAGCCGACCUGAGAUGGGGAGGGGCCACACUGGAACUGAGACACGGUCCCGACUCCUACGGGAGGCAGCGGUGCGGAGUCUUACACUAUGGACGAAGGCCUGACGUAGCAACGCCGCGUGAGUGAUGAAGGUCUUCGACUCGUAGAACUAUGUUAUUUGGGAAGAACAUAUGUGUAAGUAACUGCGCACAACUUGACGGUACCUAAUCAGAAAGCCACGGCUAACUACGUG